AAAGGAUCUAUGCAACACGAUUGAAAGUCCAAAGUUGGUCUUUUUUUAAGACUGAAUUUGGCUUUGUGAAUCCACGUGUAACUAAAAUGAGCAGUUGCUUUGAUUUUUGGUACGCUGCAUAGAUGUAGAAAAAAAAACACCAAUUAAGCCGGGAUAGAAACCGAUAUGAGAUGGUUUUUGUCUGACUAUGCGUGUCUAACAUAU